rnacentral:rRNA from 1 species
UGAGCGAUUUACUUCGGUAAAGAGCGGCGGACGGGUGAGUAACGCGUGGGUAACCUACCCUGUACACACGGAUAACAUACCGAAAGGUAUGCUAAUACGUGAUAAUAUAUUUGAGAGGCAUCUCUUAAAUAUCAAAGGUGAGCCAGUACAGGAUGGACCCGCGUCUGAUUAGCUAGUUGGUAAGGUAACGGCUUACCAAGGCGACGAUCAGUAGCCGACCUGAGAGGGUGAUCGGCCACAUUGGAACUGAGACA